AUUGAACGCUGGCGGCAUGCCUUACACAUGCAAGUCGAACGGCAGCACGGGAGCUUGCUCCUGGUGGCGAGUGGCGAACGGGUGAGUAAUACAUCGGAACGUACCCAGGAGUGGGGGAUAACGUAGCGAAAGUUACGCUAAUACCGCAUAUUCUGUGAGCAGGAAAGCGGGGGAUCGCAAGACCUCGCGCUCUUGGAGCGGCCGAUGUCGGAUUAGCUAGUUGGUGAGGUAAAAGCUCACCAAGGCGACGAUCCGUAGCAGGUCUGAGAGGAUGAUCUGCCACACUGGGACUGAGACACGGCCCAGACUCCUACGGGAGGCAGCAGUGGGGAAUUUUGGACAAUGGGGGCAACCCUGAUCCAGCCAUGCCGCGUGAGUGAAGAAGGCCUUCGGGUUGUAAAGCUCUUUCGGCGGGGAAGAAAUGGCAACGGCUAAUAUCCGUUGUUGAUGACGGUACCCGCAUAAGAAGCACCGGCUAACUACGUGCCAGCAGCCGCGGUAAUACGUAGGGUGCGAGCGUUAAUCGGAAUUACUGGGCGUAAAGCGUGCGCAGGCGGUUUCGUAAGACAGACGUGAAAUCCCCGGGCUCAACCUGGGAACUGCGUUUGUGACUGCGAGGCUAGAGUACGGCAGAGGGGGGUAGAAUUCCACGUGUAGCAGUGAAAUGCGUAGAGAUGUGGAGGAAUACCGAUGG
rnacentral:rRNA from 1 species